AAGUCGUAACAAGGUUUCCGUAGGUGAACCUGCGGAAGGAUCAUUAAUGAGUUCGGGGGCCUAGCUCCCAGCGGCGAGUGUCGUUCGAGUCUUCCGGGGCUCGGCCGGCGUUCGUCGUGUUUCUCAACCCCAUGUUUACCAUACCUUUGUUGCUUUGGCGGGCCUUGAGUAGGCUAUACGGCUCAUGCCGGCCCCAGGCUUCAUUGCCUGGGGGCGGCUCGCGCCCGCCAGAGGUUUAUUCAAACCCUAUUUAUCAGUGAUGUCUGAGCAAAUAUUAAAAUAAUCAAAACUUUCAACAAC
rnacentral:misc_RNA from 1 species